rnacentral:rRNA from 1 species
AUUGAACGCUGGCGGCAGGCCUAACACAUGCAAGUCGAAUGGUAACAGGAAACAGCUUGCUGUUUCGCUGACGAGUGGCGGACGGGUGAGUAAUGUCUGGGAAACUGCCUGAUGGAGGGGGAUAACUACUGGAAACGGUAACUAAUACAGCAUAACGUCGCAAGACCAAAGAGGGGGACCUUCGGGCCUCUUGCCAUCAGGUGUGCCCAGAUGGGAUUAGCUAGUAGGUGGGGUAACGGCUCACCUAGGCGACGAUCCCUAGCUGGUCUGAGAGGAUGACCAGCCACACUGGAACUGAGACACGGUCCAGACUCCUACGGGAGGCAGCAGUGGGGAAUAUUGCACAAUGGGCGCAAGCCUGAUGCAGCCAUGCCGCGUGUAUGAAGAAGGCCUUCGGGUUGUAAAGUACUUUCAGCGGGGAGGAAGGGAGUAAAGUUAAUACCUUUGCUCAUUGACGUUACCCGCAGAAGAAGCACCGGCUAACUCCGUG